AGAGUUUGAUUCUGGCUCAGAUUGAACGCUGGCGGCGUGCUUAACACAUGCAAGUCGAACGUGAAAGUCCUUCGGGGCGAGUAAAGUGGCGCACGGGUGAGUAACGCGUGGAUAAUCUACCCUUAAGAUGGGGAUAACGGCUGGAAACGGUCGCUAAUACCGAAUACGCUCCCGAUUUUAUCGUUGGGGGGAAAGAUGGCCUCUGCUUGCAAGCUAUCGCUUAAGGAUGAGUCCGCGUCCCAUUAGCUAGUUGGCGGGGUAACGGCCCACCAAGGCAACGAUGGGUAGCCGGUCUGAGAGGAUGACCGGCCACACUGGAACUGGAACACGGUCCAGACUCCUACGGGAGGCAGCAGUGGGGAAUAUUGCGCAAUGGGCGAAAGCCUGACGCAGCGACGCCGCGUGAGGGAUGAAGGUUCUCGGAUCGUAAACCUCUGUCAGGGGGGAAGAAACCCCCUCGUGUGAAUAAUGCGAGGGCUUGACGGUACCCCCAAAGGAAGCACCGGCUAACUCCGUGCCAGCAGCCGCGGUAAUACGGAGGGUGCAAGCGUUAAUCGGAAUCACUGGGCGUAAAGCGCACGUAGGCGGCUUGGUAAGUCAGGGGUGAAAUCCCACAGCCCAACUGUGGAACUGCCUUUGAUACUGCCAGGCUUGAGUACCGGAGAGGGUGGCGGAAUUCCAGGUGUAGGAGUGAAAUCCGUAGAUAUCUGGAGGAACACCGGUGGCGAAGGCGGCCACCUGGACGGUAACUGACGCUGAGGUGCGAAAGCGUGGGUAGCAAACAGGAUUAGAUACCCUGGUAGUCCACGCUGUAAACGAUGGGUGCUGGGUGCUGGGAUGUAUGUCUCGGUGCCGUAGCUAACGCGAUAAGCACCCCGCCUGGGGAGUACGGUCGCAAGGCUGAAACUCAAAGAAAUUGACGGGGGCCCGCACAAGCGGUGGAGUAUGUGGUUUAAUUCGAUGCAACGCGAAGAACCUUA
rnacentral:rRNA from 1 species